rnacentral:rRNA from 1 species
GAUGAACGCUGGCGGCGUGCCUAAUACAUGCAAGUCGAGCGAACAGACGAGGAGCUUGCUCCUCUGACGUUAGCGGCGGACUGGUGAGUAACACGUGGAUAACCUACCUAUAAGACUGGGAUAACUUCGGGAAACCGGAGCUAAUACCGGAUAAUAUAUUGAACCGCAUGGUUCAAUAGUGAAAGACGGUUUUGCUGUCACUUAUAGAUGGAUCCGCGCCGCAUUAGCUAGUUGGUAAGGUAACGGCUUACCAAGGCAACGAUGCGUAGCCGACCUGAGAGGGUGAUCGGCCACACUGGAACUGAGACACGGUCCAGACUCCUACGGGAGGCAGCAGUAGGGAAUCUUCCGCAAUGGGCGAAAGCCUGACGGAGCAACGCCGCGUAAGUGAUGAAGGUCUUCGGAUCGUAAAACUCUGUUAUUAGGGAAGAACAAAUGUGUAAGUAACUAUGCACGUCUUGACGGUACCUAAUCAGAAAGCCACGGCUAACUACGUG